CUUUAUUAAACAAGAAUACACAUGCAAGCAAGAAGGUAAAUAUUGUCGAAGGGACUUGAAUUGAUUAUAAUGUCAGAUUAUAGGAAUGGUGUAACUAUCGAUGUCACUACGUAACUUCUGUUGCCAAUAUGUAACUCCUGGUAUCAAACUUAACGUCUUGUGUCACGAUGUAAGUUGUAGUGUUAAGACGAACUUCUGAUGUCAUAAUGCAGCUCCUGGUGUAAGACGUAACUUUCAGUGCCACAAUAUAACUCAUGGUGUUACGAUUUAGCAUCUGGUGUUAAGACGUAACUUUUACUGUCAAAAUGGGUCCAAGAAGUAACCUAUAGUGUCACGACAUAAUUCCUGAUGUCACAGUGUAAUUACCUGUUUAAACAUGUAAUUCAUGGUUUCAGGACGCAUUUCCUUGGGUCAAGUCCAUUUUCUUCGCUAUCAAACGUGAACAAAAUUAACCUCAACUACAUGCUACAUUAGUUUUCAUCAUAUUAUAUACAUAUAUGUUCUUCAACAGAGCUUACAUAAAAUAAAAAAAAAUCUUAUGCUACCACAUCAAGGUAAAUUAAUUUUGUAUAAGUUAAACCGUAAGUAGUUUCUUAACCUAACUAUAAAGUUUUUAGUGUCAUCCUCCCAGCGCCACCUGUCUUAAAAACACGAAACAUCAUACACAAUACUGAAGAACGAUAAUUGAUAAGUUAACUUUUCAACAUAUGCAAAUAAAAUUCUCUAUGACAAUCUUCUUCAUUUCGGGAUAUUUAAAUACUAGUAACUAAUAUACAUACCACCAGAAACUACUGUGACUUGGCUUUUUGUAUUAACACUUAGGAUUUGAAUCCCAUAAUCCUACGAAGCUCCACUUCAUAGUUCUCUACUGAAUUAGUUUAUUUGUUGAUCCCUCCAAAGCAAGCUCAAGCGGACGUUCCCACCAUACAGACUGAUUUUAUGUAAACAUCCUACAUUAUCUAAGUUCGUCAACCUUUCUAAAGUAUGAUGGUAAUAAUACUUUCAUCCCACCUAUCCAGAAUACACUGACUUCCUUAUAUGGGCAGGCAUUGCGAUAUAAAGUAAAACACGUCCAUUUUUGUUAAGUUACAUUUAAUGUUUUAAAGUUAAACUUAACUUUAAGAUUUAAAGAGUCUACUAUAAUAAUUCAAUAUUAUAUCGUGUAUACUAAUGGUUGAAAGUGAAUUCCCACUUUAAGGUUUAAAGAGUCUACUAUAAUAAUCCAAUAUUAUAUCGUGUAUACUAAUGGUUGAAAGUGAAUUCCCACUUUGAGAUUUAAAGAGUCUACUAUAAUAAUCCAAUAUUAUAUCGUGUAUACUAAUGGUUGAAAGUGAAUUCCCACUUUAAGGUUUAAAGAGUCUACUAUAAUAAUCCAAUAUUAUAUCGUGUAUACUAAUGGUUGAAAGUGAAUUCCCACUUUAAGGUUUAUAGAGUCUACUAUAAUAAUCCAAUAUUAUAUCGUGUAUACUAAUGGUUGAAAGUGAAUCCCCACUUAAGGUUUAAAAAGUCUACUAUAAUAAUUCAAUACGUUAUAUCGUGUAUACUAAUGGUUGAAAGUGAAUCCCCACUUUAAGGUUUAUAGAGGCUACUAUAAUAAUUCAAUACGUUAUAUCGUUUAUACUAAUGGUUGAAAGUGAAUCCCUACUUUAAUGUUUAAAGAGUCCACUAUAGUAAUCCAGUACGAUACAUUGUGUAGAGUAAUGGUUGAAAAUGAAUCCCAACUUUAAGGUUUAAA